GAUGAAGAACGUAGCGAAAUGCGAUAAGUAGUGUGAAUUGCAGAAUUCAGUGAAUCAUCGAAUCUUUGAACGCACAUUGCGCCCUUUGGUAUUCCUUAGGGCAUGCCUGUUCGAGCGUCAUUUAAACCUUCAAGCUCAGCUUGGUGUUGGGUGACUGUCCGCUUCACCGCGGACUCGCCUCAAAAUUAUUGGCGGCCGGUACAUUGGCUCUCGAGCGCAGCAGAAACGCGUAACUCGAGGUCCUCGUGCUGGCUCCCAGAAGCUAUCUUCACAAUUUUGACCUCGGAUCAGGUAGGGAUACCCGCUGAACUUAAGCAUAUCAAUAAGCGGAGA
rnacentral:misc_RNA from 1 species